rnacentral:rRNA from 1 species
GAAAUAGUUUGAGCUAAAUAUGUUGUUGUUUUGGUGAUUAGUAUUUGGUGUUGCAUAACCUGUUUGGAAAACAUGUUUAGGGGUGAUAGGCCUUUCAAAAACUAUGAUAUCUUGAACCCCAUUAAAAGUAUUUAGUACAUAUAGUACAUUUAUUGAGUGACUAGGCUCAAUAAUAUUAUUAAUUUAUGUAUUUAGUAACAUCAUGGUAUAAUAACUAAAUGUAGGUAUUUGCUAAUAUACUUUUAUUAUAGCUUAUAAGGAGUAAUUGGGUGAAGUAAAGCUUAGACUAUCUUUUAAUUAUGUUAAUAUUAGUAUAUAUUUAAUAUAUUUAUUUAAUGAACUCGGCAAUGGUGCUUCUCAACUGUUUAUCAAAAACAUAAUGCGUGCAUAAAUACGCAGCGGUUUCUGCUCAAUGAUUAUUAAAUAGCCGCAGUAUUCUGACUGUGCAAAGGUAGCAUAAUCAAUUGGCUUAUAAUUGAAGUCUGGAAUGAAAGAAAGUAUGGGGAGCCACUGUAUCAUAGAAACUUGUAGAAUUUAUUUAUGAAGUGAAAAUCCUUCUAUUUAUUUAAAAGACGAGAAGACCCUAGAAAUUUUUAGUAAUUGGGAUUUUAUCUCAGCAUUUUUUUGUUGGGGCGACAGAGUAACAUAAAACCUACUUUAAGCUACGUGCAACUUUUUUGGUGUUAGGAGAAUUUACUCUAGGGAUAACAGCAUAAUAUUUUAAAGUUUGUGACCUCGAUGUUGGACUAGGAAACGAUAACUUAAAAGGUUUUUCGUAGUGCUCUGUUCGAGCAUAUACUCCUACAUGAUC